CUUUUCGUUUCUCUUCCUCCUUCUCUCUAGGAUGUACUGCGAUCUCAGGCGGCAUGCAUUUUUUAUGCGUUUUUUAUAAUGCUCCUUUUUUUAGACGACCAAAGGGAGCUGUACGAGACUGUAUUGUUCGUUUCGUUUGGUCGGAAGAGCGAGGUAAAUGGGCCUUCGUACUGGGAGACCAAAGUAGGCACCAGAGAACGAGGGUAGAACGAAGGAGAGUGGACAGGCUCUUUGGGUUACUUUAAGCGAUAGCAGUUUUUCUACAGUUAAUCGAGUUUAAAUAAAUAAUCGAACCUAUCGAACGAACAAAGUGGCCCUAAACACACGAGUCCAGGAGAAUCUUAAUAUAGUUUUACAAAAAGUACAAUUACAUACUUUUAUAUAAUCUUAUACGCUAAGAAUCAAUCGCGUGGUCGAGCAUACGGAGAAAUACGAGAGAAACGUAUCGAAGGCUUGAGACUUUUCAAUAUUUAUCGCACUUAUCAUUCCAUUAUCUCGCGUUAAAGGGCACGUCGUUAGACUUUUAUUAUAUUUACGAACGUCUCGUCUUCCUUUGAUUCCGAACGAUAAUGAUCUCCUUGUUUCACGUCCAUAACUAAAACUGUUUUAUCAUCACGAGAGAUUACAAAUAAUUUUUCAGCAUCCUUCUCACAUAUAACGAUCAGCCAUAAAUCGAGAAUAAGGAUCUGGCGCUACUUAGAAGUCCAUUUCGCAAAAAGCAAGUAGUAGCAGAUAACGAGGAACGCAUGUACUUUUUGCAUGUCAACGAGGCCAGAAAAUUUCCACGGAAGCGGUAUUAAGUAUUCAUCCUAAUUGAUCCUUUGCACCAAUACGCCGUGACCGUCCCCCACUUCCUCGUCCAAUCGCCCGAGAUCAAGCACGUUUAAUGGGGACGAUGAAAGUGUCACCAAAACUGAAUGAGAUAUGUCAUCCUGCGACAGGAAUAUAUGAAUCGCGCCUGUGGCAGAAAUAAAAUGAAAAUUAUUCGCAGGACCCAAAGAUGGAGGAAGCUGUAGAGAAGCUGGUCGACGUGGACAGGCAGACAGACCGGAGGUCAGACAAAAUCGGCUGGUUGGCCAGAAGGGAUAGAAUUAAGAUAAAGGAGGGACGGAGGGGGUAGAGAGAGAAGGAGAUCAAGGGAGGGUAAGCCUCCUUCUCCUCCUCCUCCUCGGCUCCUGAAAGAAGGACGAGGACGAAGAUGAAAAAGAAGAGGAAGCAAGAGAGGGCUUUGGACUGUCGAGAGAGUGCCACCCCAAAGGGCAAUGUACUUGGUUCGUGGCUAUCUUAGCGACUGCCUACGCUCCGACUAAGCUCUAGAAGGAGUACCAUAGUAGAAGAGGGAAAAGAAGCAAGCAGGCAGAGGGCACGGGUGUACCUAGGAAGAAAAGGAAGCCCGGUGGACAUAGACUAAUUGAAAAAUUGCAUGCAAGUCCUCUCGGGCGUACGCGAUCCAGGGGUGUCGAAAACUUGGGUAGCCCUGAAUGGCGGAAUAGGAGUCGAGUCGGUGUUGCACUCCACUCUGAAACAACCAGUUCCGCCACUGUGAAGAGUCUUCGUGCAUCUCCGGCGCACGUCGGGGCUUAUAUUGAUCACGAGAGUGCACGAUAUUCGAGAAUAUAUUAUGCGGACUCUAGCCGCGCGAAAUAUAAUAGUCCAGAGUAUAGCGGAAGGCCAGGCCGCUGCACUCAGUCCUGGCUGCUGCUGCUGCCGCGGGAGGCUGCCGUUGCCUUUCUCGUUGCCAUUGCCAUUGCCGUUUCUCCGCUUCCUUUUCGCUAUCCCUCUACGUUAUGUGCCUAACGCACUGCGCUUUACUCAUAUAUAGUUAUGUCUAUGCUCUAACCUAGCUUAUUCUAUCUAUAUCCUUACACACUGUCGACAUUGUCCUAGGGUAUCUGUAUACUUCCGUUCUAUCGUUACUUUGCCUUAUCCCAUUUAUACGUCGAGCUCUUUCCGCAUCGACGUCAUCCUACUUCCUCGAAGCCUUUUCCACCACGUUUUGGAAAUCGCCCACCUCUCUCACACGGUAUAACGUGCAAGCCCAGGGUAGGGGCAAUUCGCGUUUACCGGUGCGCUGCCAAUUUCAUAAUCGUUUCCGUAUCUACAGAGCGAAUUCGAGGCAAUUUUCAUUUUACCUUUAUAUCCCAAAAGUUCUCGACUUUCGCCUUAAACUCGUUAAACGAACCGUUCACCCUCCCUUUUACCGACCGAGUGUCGUCUGGCGCGACGUUCUUGUCUUCUCGAGGACGUUAAUUAAAAAAUUGUCGAGCGGCAAACAUUCGUAGGUAAAUGGACCUUCGGUCAAAAGGCACGCGCAUAGACUAUCAGGUGUUAAAGCUGCCUUUACUUUAGUAUUCGUUUGAUCUGUCCAGGUUGGUCUUGAUAAAGUUUCCAAAGACAGUCGACCGUCUCCCUAAUCAAUUUUGAUAUCUGACUAUAUGGCUAAAAUACUAAUUAGAAUUUAAAAACGGGUAUUCAAAACCACGGAAAAUUCAAUUUCGCGUCAGCCUUCGAUAUCCAAGUCAUCUAACCUAACCUAACGUGGAAAGAGACUCGAACGCCGAUAUAGAUAAGGCAAUCGAUCACGCUGAAAGGACAAACGAGAAGCGUUUGAUAUUGACAAUAGAAAUUUAUCUCCUUCUGUAAGCCUAUCGAAUGCAAAACUCGUCUUACAGUUUUUUGCCAAAGAAUUCGAUUGUGGAUAAUCGCUUUUAUGGAAUCAUAGAAAAUACGACGAACCAGGCUUAUACCUACUACAAGAGACUAUGAUGUGUACAGGAGGAAACUAGUGACUAGCAAAAAAAAAUAUUGAAAAAAAAAUAGCAGUCCGUUUCGUCCAAUUAGGUUAAUUGAUCCUCGGCACUCGAAAAGCAAUCUUCCGGAAAUGCAGUUUUCAAUUUCCCAGCAACACUCGAUACGAGGGACAUUCGAGAUUCAAUCUAUUUAAUUGACUUUAUGCGAUCAUCGCAAUGAUAAUGAGAUAUCUGGAAUCAUAGGAGACCGCAAAUCUAUUAAUACGAAACAAGAGAAAUUCGAGGUUUCGAAUAUAUAUGCAAAAAAAAAAUACGAGUCCGGCCACAGUCUUAUUCAUAACAAAAAUUUCUGAUAUCUCCAACAUACUCGAGUACCGUGAAAAGAUGCAUGCUGGGACGUAGUAGCCACGAUGGUGGAUUCUCAAAAAGUACCAAGACGAAUAUUCUCAGGAGUCGAAGCAUUAAUCCAGAAGCUUCGUCGUGGCAUCCCUCGACAGUCUCCCCACCCUUUGACUUGUCGGAGGCGGAGGAAUGGGGAUCGGGAAUCCAUGGUAGGGGCAAGAGAGGACCUUGGCCUUUUCGCGAAGUAAAAAUAAAACCUGUUGACACCGGAGCGCUACGAUGCAAGGGAGUCUCUCCGCAAUUAAAGGCCCAACUUUGGUAUAUUAUGUACGAUUGGUCAUACGCACCGUGUAGAGGUGAAACUUCCUUUGAAAAAAAAAAAUUUCCCUCAGAUACCCCCUCAAUUAUUCCCUACGAUGACACAAGAAAUAAUUAUUUGCACUUGGUUCAAUGCCUCACGGAGCCACGUAAAUUUUCCGUGCACGAUCUUUGAAAGACAAUUAUACGUUAUCGUACGACUAUAAUAAUGAUAAAAAAAAUAAUAAUUCAAAUCUCGAUAAUUACGUCAUACCUAAAUUAACCCAUCCCUAGCGAACUGUCAACCGUCAAGCGAUUCUAUACUGUUACCAAUCCCGACAGUAUCUCUACCCAGGGAUACACUGGCUCCAGGUACGAUAGUUGAGCACACUGAAAGGUACAUAGACUGUAGUAGACAGGGUUGAAGCUGUCAGGUCAUAUGGAGUGCGCUCGGAGAAUACCACUACGCAUGUAUCGACGUAGCUCCCCAGGUAUAACGCCCGGGCUCGGAAAGUAUAUGUAGCGGCGCCGAGCUACUCCGGUAGACUAGACGGAGCAGAGACGGAAAGCGGCCUCCUGCAACCUCAACCUCAACCUCUCUGCUUACCUACACCUUGUUUCGCGUCACUCCAGCCCCGAGAAAAUCCAAGAUCAGCCAUGGUAGUAAUCCUGGACACGAUCCAGUCAUCCGGGAAUCGAGCGUCGGCUGACAGACUAUCGGCUACGUCUCUACGAUCUUAUUGCCAGCCGAAGACGGCUGGGCGUGCAGUAAGGUUACAAAGAGUCUAGGUUACGCGGCAUUGUCCCUGGAAUAAGGUAUAUGGGACCACUGAAGUACGGUUGUAUAUCUGCCGGAUGGGAUCGUUUGAAAAUACUUUUCUUGCUGUGAAACGUACCGUCGGCCAUUUUGUCGACGUGACGCCCUUUCCUACAUCUACUUCACGAUUGGUGUACAUCUUUGGGAAAAAGAAAUUCCGAGCGCCCAUUAUCGAAGCGGAAAAUGGUUCCCCCUUUAGCGCGAUUGAAAGUCAUCAAGAAGAAUCGUAUGGGGUGAAAAAUUCCUAUGUCCGUAGUCUAAUGUAUUACGUGAGAAAUGACACCGAAAAUGGAUUAUAGUAUGGAGAAAAAAAAUUAGAGCAAUAAUAUAUCAAAUACCAAUUAAAAAAAUUGUAUGAUUAUAAAUUAACGUGUUACCAACCGGGAAUCAAGGAUUCAAGUAAACAAAUUACGAAACCAA